UACGGAGGGGGCUAGCGUUGUUCGGAAUUACUGGGCGUAAAGCGCACGUAGGCGGCUUUGUAAGUUAGAGGUGAAAGCCCGGGGCUCAACCCCGGAACUGCCUUUAAGACUGCAUCGCUUGAAUCCAGGAGAGGUGAGUGGAAUUCCGAGUGUAGAGGUGAAAUUCGUAGAUAUUCGGAGGAACACCAGUGGCGAAGGCGGCUCACUGGCUCGGUACUGACGCUGAGGUGCGAAAGCGUGGGGAGCAAACAGG
rnacentral:rRNA from 1 species